UACCGGCGGCUCGAGUGGUGGCCACUAUUACUGGGCUUAAAGCGUUCGUAGCUGGCUCGUUAAGUCUCUGGGGAAAUCUUCCGGCUUAACCGGAAGGCGUCUCAGGGAUACUGGCAGGCUAGGGACCGGAAGAGGUGAGAGGUACUUCAGGGGUAGGAGUGAAAUCCUGUAAUCCUUGAGGGACCACCUGUGGCGAAGGCGUCUCACCAGGACGGCUCCGACAGUGAGGAACGAAAGCUGGGGGA
rnacentral:rRNA from 1 species